GAUGAACGCUGGCGGCGUGCCUAAUACAUGCAAGUCGAGCGAACGGACGAGAAGCUUGCUUCUCUGAUGUUAGCGGCGGACGGGUGAGUAACACGUGGAUAACCUACCUAUAAGACUGGGAUAACUUCGGGAAACCGGAGCUAAUACCGGAUAAUAUUUUGAACCGCAUGGUUCAAAAGUGAAAGACGGUCUUGCUGUCACUUAUAGAUGGAUCCGCGCUGCAUUAGCUAGUUGGUAAGGUAACGGCUUACCAAGGCAACGAUGCAUAGCCGACGUGAGAGAGUGAUCGCCCACACUGGAACUGAGACGCGGUCCAGACUCCUACGGGAGGCAGCAGUAGGGAAUCUGCCGCAAUGGGCGAAAGCCUGACGGAGCGGCGCCACGUGUGUGAUGAAGGUCUUCGGAUCGUAAAACUCUGUUAUUGGGGAAGAACAUAUGUGUAAGUAACUGUGCACAUCUUGACGGUACCUAAUCAGAAAGCCACGGCUAACUACGUG
rnacentral:rRNA from 1 species